CCCACAAGAAACGUGCAAUUUUAUCCAUAAAUUGCGCUUGAGCUUGAACCAUAAAUUGCCAUGGAUGACCUUUAUGGUAGAAUGUAUCAACAUCUACGUCUUCCAUUUGAAGUUUCUUGUUGAAAAUUUCAUCAUCUCAACUGAACUUUUGGAUAUAAUCGUGUAAGACACAACAAGCGCACACACAUAAUCACACACUUAUAUAUGCACAUAAGCAAC
rnacentral:lncRNA from 1 species